rnacentral:rRNA from 1 species
AUUGAACGCUGGCGGCAGGCUUAACACAUGCAAGUCGAGCGAGCGGCGGACGGGUGAGUAAUGCCUGGGAAACUGCCUGAUGGAGGGGGAUAACUACUGGAAACGGUAGCUAAUACCGCAUACCAUCAGAUGUGCCCAGAUGGGAUUAGCUAGUAGGGGGGGUAACGGCUCACCUAGGCGCCGAUCCCUGGCUGGUCCGAGAGGCUGACGGGCAAAACUGGAACGGAGACACGGUCCGGACUCCUACGGGAGGCAGCAGGGGGGAAUAUUGGACAAGGGGCACAAGCCGGAUGCGGCCAUGCGGCGUGUAUGAAGAGGGCCUUCGGGUGGUAAAGUACUUUCAGCGAGGAGGCGUUACUCGCAGAAGAAGCAACGGCUAACUCCGUGCCAGCAGCCGCGGUAAUAC